UGCCUCUGGUUAUAUCAUCAAAGGUACCUCCUGCCCAGUGACCCCUUCCUUCAACGGCCGCGGUACCCUAACCGUGCAAAGGUAGCAUAAUCAUUUGCCUCUUAAUUGGAGGCUAGUAUGAACGGAUUAACGAGAUGCCCCCUGUCUCUAGACCAACUCCAAAAAUUAGACUUCAGGUGAAGAUACCUGGAUUCAAUUAAAAGACAAGAAGACCCUAUAGAGUUUUACCCUAGACACAAUAUCACACCCAGGGUUUAGUUGGGGCGACUAAGGAAAACAUAAAUCUUCCUCAUCAAACUAGAAUCUCAUUCUUAAUUUAUGACCCUACUCAGUGGAUUAACAGAAUAAACUACCUUAGGGAUAACAGGCUUAUCUUCCUAAAGAGCCCAAAUCGACAGGAAGGUUUGGCACCUCGAUGUUGGCUUAGAGUACCCUAAUGGAGCAGAACCC
rnacentral:rRNA from 1 species